rfam:Mus musculus chromosome 1, GRC primary reference assembly.
AGAAAGAUGGCCCAGUGGUGAAGAGCACUUGCUGAUUUUCUAGAGGACCUGGGUUCAAUUCCCAGACUUUUUU